rnacentral:rRNA from 1 species
CCUACGGGAGGCAGCAGUAGGGAAUAUUGCUCAAUGGGGGAAACUCUGACGCAGCAACGCCGCGUGGAGGAUGAAGGUUUUCGGAUUGUAAACUCCUUUUGUUAGAGAAGAUAAUGACGGUAUCUAACGAAUAAGCACCGGCUAACUCCGUGCCAGCAGCCGCGGUAAUACGGAGGGUGCAAGCGUUACUCGGAAUCACUGGGCGUAAAGAUCGCGUAGGCGGGAUAGCAAGUCAGAUGUGAAAUCCUAUGGCUUAACCAUAGAACGGCAUUUGAAACUGUUAUUCUAGAGUAUGGGAGAGGAGGGUGGAAUUCUAGGUGUAGGGGUAAAAUCCGUAGAGAUCAAGAGGAAUACUCAUGGCGAAGGCGACCUGAUAGAACAUAACUGACGCUGAUGCGCGAAAGCGUGGGGAGCAAACAGGAUUAGAUACCCUAGUAGUC